GGGUAAUGGCUCACCAAGGCGACGAUCAGUAGCGGGUCUGAGAGGAUGAUCCGCCACACUGGAACUGAGACACGGUCCAGACUCCUACGGGAGGCAGCAGUGGGGAAUUUUGGACAAUGGGGGCAACCCUGAUCCAGCCAUUCCGCGUGAGUGAAGAAGGCCUUCGGGUUGUAAAGCUCUUUCAGCUGGAACGAAACGGUACAUCCUAAUACGGUGUGCUAAUGACGGUACCAGCAGAAGAAGCACCGGCUAACUACGUGCCAGCAGCCGCGGUAAUACGUAGGGUGCGAGCGUUAAUCGGAAUUACUGGGCGUAAAGCGUGCGCAGGCGGAUUGUUAAGCAAGAUGUGAAAUCCCCGGGCUUAACCUGGGAAUGGCAUUUUGAACUGGCAGUCUAGAGUGUGUCAGAGGGGGGUGGAAUUCCACGUGUAGCAGUGAAAUGCGUAGAGAUGUGGAGGAACACCAAUGGCGAAGGCAGCCCCCUGGGAUAACACUGACGCUCAUGUACGAAAGCGUGGGUAGCAAACAGGAUUAGAUACCCUGGUAGUCCACGCCCUAAACGAUGUCAACUGGUUGUUGGGGGAGUGAAAUCCCUUAGUAACGAAGCUAACGCGUGAAGUUGACCGCCUGGGGAGUACGGUCGCAAGAUUAAAACUCAAAGGAAUUGACGGGGACCCGCACAAGCGGUGGAUGAUGUGGAUUAAUUCGAUGCAACGCGAAAAACCUUACCUACCCUUGACAUGUCCAGAAUCCCGCAGAGAUGUGGGAGUGCCCGAAAGGGAAUUGGAACACAGGUGCUGCAUGGCUGUCGUCAGCUCGUGUCGUGAGAUGUUGGGUUAAGUCCCGCAACGAGCGCAACCCUUAUCAUUAGUUGCUACGCAAGGGCACUCUAAUGAGACUGCCGGUGACAAACCGGAGGAAGGUGGGGAUGACGUCAAGUCCUCAUGGCCCUUAUGGGUAGGGCUUCACACGUCAUACAAUGGUCGGUACAGAGGGUUGCCAAGCCGCGAGGUGGAGCCAAUCCCAGAAAGCCGAUCGUAGUCCGGAUUGUUCUCUGCAACUCGAGAGCAUGAAGUCGGAAUCGCUAGUAAUCGCGGAUCAGCAUGUCGCGGUGAAUACGUUCCCGGGUCUUUUACACACCGCCCGUCACACCAUGGGAGUGGAAUCUGCCAGAAGUAGGUAGCCUAACCGCAAGGGGGGCGCUUACCACGGUGGGUUUCAUGACUGGGGUGAAGUCGUAACAAGGUA
rnacentral:rRNA from 1 species